CUUCUGUUUAAUUUAUACCGUACUUCCAUUGUACUAGCUACUUACAUGGAGUUUUGGCUGCAUAGCCUUUACAAUUCCUAGGUUCUAGCAGGUAAGUUUCAUCAUCAUUUCCUCGCGUUUUGCGCACAGCGCAAACCUGAUGACAGUUCAACAACUCCUAAAACAAAACCACGGGUCCUCCCCCAGCCCACCCUGAAGUUCAUGGCGGUGCUGCAGGCUGUGGCCAACAGCCCUCUGCUUCCCUGGCCCUGGUGCUGAAAUCCAGAAGGGGAAUGCACACCCAUGGGUUUCUGUAUGACCGUUCCCUCGCCUUGCUGACACGAGGAGAUCCUCAUUAAUCUGCAAUUGCGGCAGCGAUCGGGGUUGCAGGAUGUGGGGCUCAGGUGGGCAGAACACACUCCAGGGUGUUUAUAGCAGCUUUACCCAGCCCUGGAGCGCGUGAUGAGAUGAACUGCAGUGAGAGUGACCAUGUCCCAGAGGUGCCACAGCCACACAGUGCCAGUCCUGGUGGUCAGAGAUGUACGCUGCGAUGGUUCUGCUGCUCCUCCCUCUGCUCUGAGCUCGUCGGGCCAAGAGCCAGGCCAAGCCCAAGGAAGCUGUACCAGUGGGAACAUCCAGAACCCAACGUGACCGCAGUCUGCAGAGAUGCUGCAGAGGAAGGAGGAUGCACAUGCGAGCAAAGGGAUUUCUUGCCUCCAUAACCAGCAAGAGAAUGUCAGCUUGUGCCAAUUCGAGCUAGAGACCAACGGACACAUGAGACCUGCACCAUUUCUUGUGGGAACACACAGCUGACUCCUUCCUGCCAUCUAGGAGUGGACAUGUCCUGCUUCUGAACAAAGGUUCUCGACAAAGGUGGAGACUGAGUGCCUUGCAUGUCACCUACCCUACCGGGCUGGGUAAGAUGAGAAAGCAUUUAUUAAUUGCUUACUUGGGCACCCCCCAUCCCACCCAGUGCACAGUCCCUCUUUCCCUCAUGUGGCUGCUAAUGGGAAUCUGGAGAAAUGCCCUAGAAAGUAGUAAAAAUGCAUGCUGUUUUUUUUAAUGCAGGUCUGCCACCUGACUUGCUUAGGGAGCCAAUGCAGUGCUAUCUAGCUUAGGAGAGAUCCCAGUCACUACCUUACACUGUGGAUAACAGCCAGGUCUAUCCCACGCCCCUUGGCAGUACUUUUUCUGUCUUCUUUUUUGUUCCUUGGGGCCCUUCCUAAUCUCUCCUAGGCUGACGGAGGCCCUGCAGCUGUAGAUGCAGUCAUGUAAGUAUCAAAAGCAAAGAUAUCCUUUUGCUGUCACCGCUGAAGGAAAAUAAUUUGUUUUCCUACGUAGCUCAGAAGUAAAGAUGAAGGCUAAGAGGUAUGAACAAAAUGAUCUCGCAGACCAGGGAUGAGAGGUGAAUUUACCAAGCAGGACACCAAGAGUAGUUCUGCUGUUUCCUUAGCUCUCCCACUCCACGUUGUGCUAACAGCACACAGCCUGGCAGGAAGGAGUGCUCACAUAUAAAUACUCAUUUUGGUUUUCUUUUGUAGCUGGGGCACUCUCCCUGUUGUGAGAAGUCCCACAGGCAGCCCUUAUCAGCACCGAUGUAGAUCUUCAGCACGGGGAUGGCUUAAUGGCAGGGGCCCAAGCACACAGAAAGCAGAGAACCACAGCAAAAGUAAAGGGGACACUGUCAAAAGAAAUGGAAGUGUGCUUUCUGCAGUGUGGCUCCCCCCCUUCCGAGCAUCGUGUGGGCAGACACUCCUGCUCCCCGCCAUCUCCUCAGCUAUUAAUGCACUAUCAAUUACAGGAGGAGGCAAACUAAGUGUUUGGAGGAAUCAUUUCAGGCUCGUUUACAUUCUGUGCUUUGCUCUCUGAACCAGGCUGGCCAGCAUGGCAGCAAAUUGCAUUUCUGCUCCAAGAGACGUAGAAGAUGAUUGCCAGGGAGACCUGCUCUCCACAGCCCUACAGCAAUUCCUCUGGAGGCCUCCUCUCCAAUCGGGGGAUCGUUUCAUAAGGGAUCGAUGGUGAUUGCCAAAACCUCUCUGCCCUGAAGCCAGCAAGGUAAGAAAGUUGACAGUGUUCCCUUUAUACGUGUAGAUACAUAUCAUCAGUCAGGGACCUUCAUGCGCAGGGAGGGGAGGGGCAUUCACUCUGAUGCUUCCCUUUGAAACAACAGAAACAGACAGACAGACAGACGAACAGCCAGGAAUAUUACAGAACAGUGGUGCAAACAGGCCCAGGGUAGCACACUUGGGUGCAUUCCUAAGCACACCUCAGUGCCAGGAGAGCACAGCCCUCCCAUACACACACACACACGCAACACACACACCCCACACUACCACUGAGACACUCCAUUUCAGCCAGUGUUGGAGGUCAGUCCUUCCUCUCGGUACGUAGGCUUUUUUUU
rnacentral:lncRNA from 1 species